GAUGAACGAUAGCUACAGGCUUAACACAUGCAAGUCGAGGGACCGGCGCACGGGGGAGUAAAACGUAUCCAACCUGCCAGUUACUCGGGGAUAGCCUGGCGAAAGAAAGAUUAAUACCCGAUAUACAGGAUGGGGCUGCGUUGCAUUAGGGUGUUGGGGCGGUAACGGCUCUCCAAGGCUUCGAUGGAUAGGGGUUCUGAGAGGAAGGCCCCCCACAUUUGAACUGGGACACCGUCUAAACUGCUAGGGGAGGCAGCAGUGAGUGUUAUUGGUCAAUGGGCGCUAGCCUGACCCUGCCAAGUGGCGUGAAGGGUGAAGGGUUAUUGGUCCUAAACGUCUUUUAUAUAAGAAUCUGUAUUAUAUGAAUAAGGAUCGGCUAACUCCGUGCCAGCAGCCGCGGUAAUAC
rnacentral:rRNA from 1 species